UUUCUAUUGAAAUUUUACAGCAUUGAUGCUUUAUAAAGAUAGUGUGAAGAGAGAUGACAGGCAGGCAGAGGAGUGCAGUGUCACGCAGGUUACAGGGAACUAAGUCCUUUUAUAUGCUCUUCAUCAGUAGCAAAAAGGGCAAGAUGAGUGGUCAUAAACCCACAGCUCAAAGGCUAAGGUAGUAGCAGAGAUCAUUGUUGUUGCUCUGAUACUGUGGAUGAUAUUCCCCCUUCCUGACAUGUGAAUAAAUUGUUCCUUCAGGUGAGAGGACAUUGUCAGGAAAAGGAAUGUGGAUAACAUAGAUGCCAGAACCUCCACGUCAGGGCAGCAAGGUCUAGCUGCAGUAUUUGCAGACCCACUGCUGCUCUGAGACCUAAAGUGUGAGAACUAGAUUCCGCAUGGUGAUCUCCCUGCAGUCUUGGCCUCCUCAAGCCCUCUGCUUGCUGCAAAGGUAUCAGCUCCGUGUAGCUACAAACAGAGCAAACAGACACCCAGCACAUACCUGCAAGGGCAAUGAACUUACAGGUAUGUUGGAAAUGAAGACAGUCUUUGUCAAUAGCUGGCACCCAAUUACUUUGCAGCAAAGCUGAGGUAGGCAGAGCCUAUGGUCUCGCAAGCAUUGCUGAAUUUUGU
rnacentral:lncRNA from 1 species